UGGGGAAUAUUGCACAAUGGGGGAAACCCUGAUGCAGCAACGCCGCGUGGGUGAAGGAGCGUUUCGGCGCGUAAAGCCCUGUCAGCGGGGAAGAAGAAAGACGGUACCCGACCAAGAAGCCCCGGCUAACUACGUGCCAGCAGCCGCGGUAAUACGUAGGGGGCGAGCGUUAUCCGGAAUUACUGGGUGUAAAGGGAGCGUAGACGGCGAGGUAAGCCUGAAGUGGAAGCCCGCGGCCCAACCGCGGAACUGCUUUGGGAACUGUUUUGCUGGAGUAUGGGAGGGGUAAGCGGAAUUCCUGGUGUAGCGGUGAAAUGCGUAGAUAUCAGGAGGAACACCGGUGGCGAAGGCGGCUUACUGGACCAUAACUGACGUUGAGGCUCGAAAGCGUGGGGAGCGAACAGG
rnacentral:rRNA from 1 species